AUGGAGAGAAUAGUGCAUUGUGAAGGUAUUGUGAGUUGGGACAACUUGUACAGAGAAUAUAACACAAUGGCAAGUACAUUUGGGCCUAAAGAUAUCUUAGUUCUCCCUCUUGCCACUGACUCUUUUUUUGUGAUUGGAAAAGUUACUUCCUCUCUCUGGGCCUCAGUUUCCUCGUUCUUAAAUAAUAAAAAAAUCCCUCAUGGGGCAUGGCUCCUCUCUCCCUGCCUUCACUUUCUGCAGGCACUGCUGGUGUGUGCUCAGGUGUACCUGCCUCUUCCCGUCAGGUCCCUGCUUUGCAUUUGCACCUGCCCCCCUUUUGUUUGUAGUCUAAGUGACAUGGGUCUCCCUCUCUUUCCUCCAACUGCAUCGCUCAAUCCUGCAAUGUGUCACAAUGGUGUGGAGCUGUCAUUCUGGAUGAUGUGGCGUGACCUCACACUGAUGCCAUUCCCCUCCCACCAAGCCAACCUGGCUUCCUCCUCCACCCAUGGAAUAAGCCAGAAUGCUGAAAGUGGGAGGGAAAUAGAGCACCAAGGUUAA